rnacentral:rRNA from 1 species
AGAAUCAACGCUGGCGGCGUGCCUAACACAUGCAAGUCGAACGAGAAAGUGGAGCAAUCCAUGAGUAAAGUGGCGACCGGGUGAGUAACACGUGACUAACCUACCUUCAAGUGGGGGAUAACCUCGUGAAACCGAGGCUAAUACCGCAUAAUAUCGCAAGAUCAAAGCAGCAAUGCGCUGGAAGAGGGGGUCGCGGCUGAUUAGCUAGUUGGCGGGUAACGGCCCACCAAGACGAUGAUCGGUA